rnacentral:miRNA from 1 species
UCGUCGUCCUGCGUCAGCUGCU